AAUGUAUUGCCUAGAAUGUUGUUUUUGUUUCAAACAUUGCAAAUUGUGGACAAAAUGGACUGUUUCAAGAGGUGGCAGAGAGAUAUUUCUAGAUUUGUCUGGCAGGGCAAGAAGCCCAGAAUAAAAUUUAAAAUACUAACAGAUGCAAAGGAAAGAGGUGGAUUUGCCCUGCCAGACCUCAAACUUUAUUAUGAAUCAGCAGCUUUUUGCUGGUUGAAAGAAUGGCUGCUUCUUGAAAACACUGACAUUUUGGAUCUAGAAGGCUUUAACAAUGUAUUUGGUUGGCAUGCAUAUCUGUGGUAUGAUAAGGUUAAAGCACAUAAAGCAUUUAAAAACCAUAUUGUCAGGAAAGCAUUGUUUAAUGUUUGGAUAAGAUAUAAGGAUUUAUUGGAAAAUAAAACCCCAAGGUGGCUAUCACCGAUGGAAGCGAAAGCUCUGAAAAAGCUCAGUAUGGAGGUCAAAUGGCCGAAAUAUUGGGAAAUUUUGGAACAAGAUGGAGAUAGAUUGAAACUGCAGAGUUUUGAAAAACUAAAAGACAAAGUGCGAGACUGGCUUCAUUAUUAUCAGAUAAUGGAGGCAUACAAUUUGGACAAGAAAAUCGGCUUCCAGGUGG